CCUACGGGAGGCAGCAGUGAGGAAUAUUGGUCAAUGGGCGAAAGCCUGAACCAGCCAAGUCGCGUGCAGGAGUACUGCCCUAUGGGUUGUAAACCUCUUUUGUCGGGGAGCAAAAGCCGUACGUUUCCGGCUGUUAGAGUACCCGAAGAAAAAGCAUCGGCUAACUCCCUUCCAGCAGCCGCGGUAAUACGGAGGAUGCGAGCGUUAUCCGGGUUUUUUGGGUUUAAAGGGUGCGCAGGCGGAUUUUUAAGUCAGCGGUAAAAUCGUGGGGCUCAACCCCAUCCAGCCGUUGAAACUGGGGAGCUGGAGUGUGCGAGAGGCAGGCGGAAUGCGUGGUGUAGCGGUGAAAUGCAUAGAUAUCACGCAGAACCCCGAUUGCGAAGGCAGCAUACCGGUGCACAACUGACGCUCAGGCACGAAAGCGUGGGUAUCGAACAGGAUUAGAUACCCUGGUAGUC
rnacentral:rRNA from 1 species